rnacentral:rRNA from 1 species
AUUGAACGCUGGCGGCAGGCUUAACACAUGCAAGUCGAGCGAGCGGCGGACGGGUGAGUAAGGUCUGGGAAACUGCCUGAUGGAGGGGGAUAACUACUGGAAACGGUAGCUAAUACCGCAUACCAUCAGAUGGGGCCAGGUGGGAUUAGCUAGUAGGUGGGGUAAUGGCUCUCCUAGGCGACGAUCCCUAGCUGGUCUGAGAGGAUGACCAGCCCCACUGGAACGGAGACACGGUCCAGACUCCUACGGGAGGCAGCAGUGGGGAAUAUUGCACAAUGGGCGCAAGCCUGAUGCAGCCAUGCCGCGUGUGUGAAGAAGGCCUUCGGGUUGUAAAGCACUUUCAGCGAGGAGGCGGUACUCGAAGAGGAAGCACCGGCUAACUACGUGCCAGCAGCCGCGGUAAUUC